UCGCCGCCGACGACGUCGCGAGAAGUCCACUGAACCUUAUCAUUUAGAGGAAGGAGAAGUCGUAACAAGGUUUCCGUAGGUGAACCUGCGGAAGGAUCAUUGUCGACACCUGCAAAGCAGAGCGACCCGCGAACCGUUUUUUAAAUGCCCGGGAUACCGGGGGGCGCCUAUCUGCCCGGUAGCCCGAAAGCUCCGGACGCUAGGGGUGCAACCCACCCCCCAGCGGACGAAGCUCCAAACAAACCCCGGCGCGCGAAGCGCCAAGGUACUCCAACGGUAGGGCAUGCGCCCGUAGCCCUGGGUUCCAGUGUGCUCGGGCUGCUGUUCAACAUCAUAAAGUCUAAACGACUGUGUGAAUUGCAGAAUCCCGUGAACCAUCGAGUCUUUGAACGCAAGUUGCGCCCGAAGCCUUGGCUGAGGGCACGUCUGCCUGGGUGUCACGCAUCGCGUUGCCUCCAAACCCUUCACCCUUCGUUCGUUGCGGUGAUGGUCUGGAUGCGGAAGUUGGCCUCCCGCGGCCACGAGCCACGGAUGGCCCAAACACGUGCUAGGGAAGCGAAGCGCCACGGCAUUCGGUGGUUGAUCCAAGCCCCAGAAGCAGUGCCGGCGGUGGCCGCGUCUGUCCUUAGCCUACGACCCUAAACGUUAACCAACGCGACCUCAGGUCAGGCGGGGCUACCCGCUGAGUUUAAGCAUAUCAAUAAGCGGAGG
rnacentral:rRNA from 1 species